rnacentral:lncRNA from 1 species
CAGAGGCUUACUGUUUAUUUUCUUUUUGGUGCAUUUUAUACACAGCAGUACAAACUCUGGCAGCUCCUGUCUGACUGAAUCUUACUUACUGUGCAUUUUGGAUGUCACUGCUGUUAAAGUUUGAUUGUGUAGUGUUAGAUGUGGCAGAAAUGUUUAUCCUGUAACUUAUAAUGUCUCCAGAGGACAAUAAAAUGGGCAUGGAUUAUUUUUUUCUGCCUGGCAGGAUACUGGAAAUAAGCUCCUAUAGUGGAAAGUUUGCUGUGAGCAGGGCAGGCUGGUGCAGAGCUACUUGCUGUUCCCAGUCAUUUUGGCAACGUGGAGCAUGAGCUGCAGAACAGGGAGUGCUGACAGUGUGGAUGAACGGGUGCAUUGCUUUUGGUCCUGUGAUAGAACCCAUAAGACCGAAUCCAUACAUUGGAUCCCCACAGAGACUGGGCACAUAGAACAUCAGUACCACCAGCUUCAUAGAGAAGAUGGACCAAGUGAAAAUGGAGCUUUCUCCUAUCAAUAGAAAUGGUGGAGCAAAUAGUGGAUCUGUUUAAAAAAUAGCAAAAUUGCUGAACUUUAGAAGUAGCAACAAAGAUGAGCAGAAUAAUAUUUUCUGUGGCACAAAUAAAUACUUGUUUAAUAUCCUAUUUUUUCACACUCUGGACACUGUAACAGGAAAGCACUUUUGCCUAAACAGCAUGAUGGACAUAUGGGGUAAAGUGCAAGGUCAUCCCUGGCAAAAUGGCUGGCUGCCCUCCUCAAUAUUCUUUAAAUUCUACUUGCUGUUGUUUUGGAUUCCAGACUUAGGAAGAUAAAACAAUAACUUGCUAUUCCUUUUGCAAACCACGUGGCUGGCAUCCUUUCUGGAGACCUUCCAUAAUUCAGUUUGCACAAGAAGACUGUGGGACCCUUAGAGUAACAAAAGUUCCGAAAUGUAAUGCUUUCUUCAAGGUCAAAAUAAUGAGAUUUAUACAUUUCCUGUGCAACUCUCCAGUAGAAACAAAUAGUGUGAAAGGCAGGAGGGAGAGUGAAAAAUAUCCCUGGGAUAUACUUCAUGUGCUAAAGCUAUUAAUGAAAUAUAGGUGCCUGUGUAGCUCAGGAUCUCUGCUCAUCAGAACAAUUGUACAAAUUCUCUCUGACUAAUGACUAUAAAAGGCCUGAAUCUCUGUAUUCCCUGGGCAAUUUAAAAUCUGAGUUUAAUACAUUGCAGUUUCAUUUCUGAACUAAUGCAGUUGUAUAAAGGAUGUUUUGUUUAAAAGAAGAUUUUGCUGUGGAGAGUGAAGUACAGGGGGUAUGGCUCCGAAUGCUGCCAAUCACAGAAGAUCUUAGAGUAUGGAGAUGAAUUUUGAAAGCUGCCUGUUUAACACAGCAACAAUAAGCAUUUUUAAUUGUUAUUAUUAUCAAGUGGAGCCAUACAGUCUGAUAAGACAUGAAAUCCCACUGAGUAAUUUUUCAGGUAACUUCUUUUAGUCUUCUUUUUUUAGAAAAAUAGUCAAACAAAGCUCAGUAGUCCUAAAUAGCUCCCAUUAGUUCAGAUACCACCAUGAUUACUGUUGUGGUGGUUUCUGUGUGAAGAAAUUUUUGGCUUUCUCAUGGUCACAUUUAUACCUUUUAAGUAUGUAACACAUACAAUCUCUUUGCUCCUGCAAGUGCAGCACAACAAACCUUUCAGAGCACAGGGCUUAGAUCUGACCCAUCAGGCCUUGUGUGGUAGCUGCAUUACUAUGCACAUAUUUAUGACAUAGAAGAGUCUGUGUGCUUUUUCCGCACAUUUCACAGAAGAAGGAGGCCUGCUGCUGGUUUCAGAACCCACACUGACCUCACAGCUAAAACCAUAUCUGAAGAAAAUGUUAUAUCACUGAACAUUUACACUCAGCUACAGCCCAGAGGCCCUGAUCAGAUUCUGUUCUGCAGAGUCUUAUUUUAAAGAAGUUCUCAAUCCUAUCUCAGGUAUUUUUGAAUCUGAGGCUGCAAGGCAUAUAUAAAGGAAAGAAGAAAGGAGAAAACAGAGGUGCUUUUCAUGUAUGAAUACACUGAUAAAAAAACCUCCUCCUCAGAAAUUUUCUUAAGAGGUAGACUUCAUGUAGGCGUCACUACCUUGAGAAGCUAAACUACUUCAGUGAAGAGCUAAGGAUUAAUUUCUGAAAGGUUGGGGGUUUAUAACAUGAUUUAGAAAAACUCCAAAGAAACGAAGAGAUCCUGGAAAGGCAACUAUAAAGGUGCUAAGUGCAGCGGGAACAGAACACCCACUGAAGAACACCUGCAGAACAGCAACACCAUCCUUUCCAUAAAACAGGGCACAAAAACUUCUACACAAAGAAAAUCUGAAAAACACAGUUGGGCAAGAACAUAUUUUCUAUUCUGUGGAUCAUACAUGACAUUGUUACUAGAAUUUCAAAAUGGAAAUACUUUUGCUUCCAUAAAACACUUUGAAGUACUUCACAGAGACAACCCAAAUACUCAACUAAUUCAUAAUGUUGCCUGUAUUUCACAGUCAGUGCUAUGGAAGACUAUGCUAUUUCCCCUGUUCAUUGGUCUCUUACAAUUCUUCACAGAAUCUGCUUAAAAAACAAUGUCAAAGUGUCAAUGUGCUUUCUAAGGAGGCUACGGCUAUCUGUAUCCUGAAAAUAAAUCAGGGCUCUCAUUCUCAGGUCAGUCUAUAACAGCCAAAGGAUUUGGCAUCAACAAAGAAGCCUCAGCGGCAACAUAAUCACAUGUAUUAUAUUAAACUAGACCAGCUGAAGGAUUAAAUGAAGCCCUAUAAAAUGAGUGGAUGUUGCUGAACUUCACUAUUCACAUAAGAGAAAUGUACAGUGAACUAAUUACAAUUUCUGUUCUGUAUACUGUCAUUCAUAUUGCAGCUUUCCUGAGUAAUAUUCCCUCUGUGAUUGUGCAGCAGCAAACUGUCCCCAAAGGUCAUGCGUAAAGUCAUUAUAUAGAACCUGAUGAGCAUUGUCUCUGGUCUCUAAUUGGAAACUACAUCAUUCUGACUUGUCACAGCCUGACUGUGUGUGCACCUAUCAGUUGUUC